GCUGAUGGUGGAAGGAGAAUGAGUCUCUGAUGACUUUGGACUUGAUGCUGGAAAGACUUAAGACUUUGGGGGACUACUGGAAAGGAGUGACUUCUCCCCAGAUUUUUGUAUACCUGACUCUGUUUCAGCAUCCGCUUCCCAAAGAAUGCAGUGUGAAGCAGGAGCUUAUGUGAGAAGAAACGCAGGGAGACAGUUCAGUCACUGCAAUCUUCAUGCCCAUCAGUUUCUUGUGAGAAGAAAACAAGUUUAGGAAAACUUCCUACACCUUCUUUGUUGGGAUGUUCUCUGGACUAAUGACUCCAGGCGAGACCACCGUUGAUCAUGAACUCACUUUGAAACAGAAGCUGGGUUGGUAAGACUGGAGCUACU
rnacentral:lncRNA from 1 species